rnacentral:lncRNA from 1 species
UUACAUGUGGGAUCCUAUUACAUAAACCAUUUCAACUAUAAUAUUCAAUCACACCAUUCAAAUUUUCAUUUAGCCCGAUUGCAUCCAUACACAAGGUUUCCAAUCAAAAAAAUACAUAAAACCCACAAUCUACAAUUCCUAGUCAACUCCAAAGAAAACUAUAGUACAUCAUGGAGCCUUUCAAUCUUCUUUGAUAGAAAACCAACACCCUGCCAAAGAAAA